UACGCAGACUAAAUGUGUAGAAGACCUUGAUUUUAUUUCCAAGUUAUUUUAAAUGAGAAAGGAUUUAUCACCAGCUUAAAAACAACAACAGCAGCAGCUUUGAAGAUGGUGGUAUAAAAGGAUCCUGAACUCCGAUAAACACACCAGAUCUACAGUUGCUUAUGGAAAAACUUUCUUUGAAAACUGGCUGAGUGAAUACUACACAUUGGACGAACAAGAAAAGGCCCACAUGGAAACAGGGUCUGGCUUUUUGGACUUGAUCAUUUUCCUCCCAUGGCUAGAGUGAGCGACCUGUAAACUGCCAGGAAGGAAAUUGACAGAACUUUCAAAAAACCAAAGACUGACAGAAACAAAGUAAAUAAUGACGAAACUGAGCAAUAGAUCACCCAGAAGGAGUGUCCCCUGCCAAAAUGAAUUGGCAUUUCACCCUCUUGAGAAACAAAUGGACACUCUGUCUCCACAGAAGGCCAGGGUCCACAUGUCAACAUCACU